rnacentral:rRNA from 1 species
AUUGAACGCUGGCGGCAGGCCUAACACAUGCAAGUCGAGCGGGGGUAGCAAUACCCUAGCGGCGAACGGGUGAGGAAUGCUUGGGAAUCUGCCUCGUAGUGGGGGAUAACGUUCCGAAAGGAACGCUAAUACCGCAUACGUCCUACGGGAGAAAGGGGGGAGUCUUCGGACCUCUCGCUAUGAGAUGAGCCCAAGCGGGAUUAGCUAGUUGGUGAGGUAAAGGCUCACCAAGGCUACGAUCCCUAGCUGGUCUGAGAGGAUGAUCAGCCACACUGGAACUGAGACACGGUCCAGACUCCUACGGGAGGCAGCAGUGGGGAAUAUUGGACAAUGGGCGAAAGCCUGAUCCAGCCAUGCCGCGUGUGUGAAGAAGGCC